AUUGAACGCUGGCGGUAUGCUUAACACAUGCAAGUCGAACGAUGAGAAAGAGCUUGCUCUUUCGAUUCGUGGCGGACGGGUGCGUAACGCGUAGGAAUCUACCUAUUAGUGGGGGACAACUUAGGGAAACUUACGCUAAUACCGCGUACGCCCUACGGGGGAAAGAAGGGGAUCGAAAGACCUUUUGCUAACAGAUGAGCAUGCGUAGGAUUAGGUAGUGGGUGGGGUAAAAGCUCACCAAGGCGACGAUCCUUACCUGGUUUGAGAGAAUGAGCAGUCACACUGGAACUGAGACACGGCCCAGACUCCUACGGGAGGCAGCAGUGGGGAAUAUUGGACAAUGGGCGAAAGCCUGAUCCAGCAAUCCCGCGUGUGUGAAGAAGGCCUUAGGGUUGUAAAGCACUUUCAAUUGGAAGGAAAACCUCGAAGCUAAUACCUUCGAGUUUGACAUUACCUUUAUAAGAAGCACCGGCUAACUCCGUGCCAGCCGCCGCCGUAA
rnacentral:rRNA from 1 species